GAUGAACGCUGGCGGCGUGCCUAAUACAUGCAAGUCGAGCGAACGGACGAGAAGCUUGCUUCUCUGAUGUUAGCGGCGGACGGGUGAGUAACACGUGGAUAACCUACCUAUAAGACGGGGAUAACUUCGGGAAACCGGAGCUAAUACCGGAGAAUAUUUUGAACCGCAUGGUGCAAAAGUGAAAGACGGUCUUGCUGUCACUUAUAGAUGGAUCCGCGCUGCAUUAGCUAGUUGGUAAGGUAAUGGCUUACCAAGGCAACUAUGCAUAGCCGACCUGAGAGGGUGAUCGGCCACACUGGAACUGAGACACGGUCCAGACUCCUACGGGAGGCAGCAGUAGGGAAUCUUCCGCAAUGGGCGAAAGCCUGACGGAGCAACGCCGCGUGAGUGAUGAAGGUCUUCGGAUCGUAAAACUCUGUUAUUAGGGAAGAACAUAUGUGUAAGUAGCUGUGCACAUCUUGACGGUACCUAAUCAGAAAGCCACGGCUAACUACGUG
rnacentral:rRNA from 1 species